ensembl:lncRNA
AUCUAUUUACGAAAUUGUUUUUAAAAGAAACAGGGUAUUUGUUAAAGCUCUAUAUUGACUGUCUCUUUGGUAAGCCUCUGUCCGGCUGGGACAGGCCUCUUUCUACAGACUUUUGUAACAGAACGUCCCUGACUGACCUUUCCUAUGUGGCCCUCCUUUUCUUAUUUCUGUAUUUUUGUAUGGAUGUAUUGUGUGUAUGUGUGUGUUGGUGACUCUAUCAUGGUAAUGUGAACUCUGACCUUUGACCUGUGUGUUAAGCGUAUGGUUAGGUGUGGGGUGGAAAGCCUCAGAGCUCAGUGCCAUAGAGAGGAAUAGUGUGAGGUGAGGGACAUCUCUGUAUAGAGGGAUUAUAGAGUCCACAUGGACACUAUAAAUAACAUUGUGUGUGUGUGUGUGUGUGUGUGUGUGUGUGUGUGUGUGUGUAUGGUGGUGGGUGGGUGGGUGUUUAGCUACCUGUGUAUAGGUGUGUGACUGUGUAUUGUAAAUGUCAGUGAAAAGCAUGUCUAAAAGGCUUAGUGAGGAACAUCUGGCUUUGAGUGAUAAAAAACACGAUUGUUGUGCAUUUUUUUAAUAUUUUGUUUUUAUUUUCUGUUCAGACGUUCCCUUCGAGUCAGACACAGUAGGCUAGUCCUGACCCCACCCUGAUCAAUCAGUGUCUGAUCUUCACUAGAGAGCUGUCUCUCCAGUUGGUAAUGUGUUGUGCACUGGGAGACUAGUGGCUCACAUAAGCAAGAAGCCACCCUAGCGACUGAGUAACUGGGUAAGUUGGUGAGCACGGAGCAAGGUAGACCAAUCAGGUGGCUUGAUCCUUUUGGCUUCUCAACACCAGUGUCAAAAAUGUCACACCCCACUUUUAGUGCUCAACCAACUAACCCUCUUUCAGAUGAAUGAAGCGGGAUGAAUGUGCAAGGAUUGGGGGGGGGGGGGGAGUGUGAUGUGUGUAGUUUUUUGUUGUGGGCAUUUUUAACAUUCUCCUGUUCACCCAGUGUGUGCGAUAUUCAUGUGGAAGCUUUCUGAAGACUCUGUAAAAACAAUACGAUGAAUGUAAUAUAGCAGUCCUAAUCAGCACUUGUAAACAAAGUGUAUUUUACCAUCAAAUAUUAUGAAUAAAUGACAAAGAAUGAAACUCUUGAAUUUGCC